GACGAACGCUGGCGGCGUGCUUAACACAUGCAAGUCGAACGGAAAGGCCCUGCUUGCAGGGUACUCGAGUGGCGAACGGGUGAGUAACACGUGGGUGAUCUGCCCUGCACUUCGGGAUAAGCCUGGGAAACUGGGUCUAAUACCGGAUAGGAGCCAUUUUUAGUGUGAUGGUUGGAAAGUUUUUUCGGUGUAGGAUGAGCUCGCGGCCUAUCAGCUUGUUGGUGGGGUAAUGGCCUACCAAGGCGGCGACGGGUAGCCGGCCUGAGAGGGUGGACGGCCACAUUAGGACUGAGAUACGGCCCAGACUCCUACGAGGGGCAGCAGUGGGGAAUAUUGCACAAUGGGCGGAAGACUGAUGCAGCAACGCCGCGUGCGGGAUGACGGCCUUCGGGUUGUAAACCGCUUUCGCCUGUGACGAAGCGUGAGUGACGGUAAUGGGUAAAGAAGCACCGGCUAACUACGUG
rnacentral:rRNA from 1 species